UGUAGCUAGUUGGUGAGGUAACGGCUCACCAAGGCGACGAUGCGUAGCCGACCUGAGAGGGUGAUCGGCCACACUGGGACUGAGACACGGCCCAGACUCCUACGGGAGGCAGCAGUAGGGAAUCUUCCGCAAUGGACGAAAGUCUGACGGAGCAACGCCGCGUGAGUGAUGAAGGUUUUCGGAUCGUAAAGCUCUGUUGUUAGGGAAGAACAAGUGCCGUUCAAAUAGGGCGGCACCUUGACGGUACCUAACCAGAAAGCCACGGCUAACUACGUGCCAGCAGCCGCGGUAAUACGUAGGUGGCAAGCGUUGUCCGGAAUUAUUGGGCGUAAAGGGCUCGCAGGCGGUUUCUUAAGUCUGAUGUGAAAGCCCCCGGCUCAACCGGGGAGGGUCAUUGGAAACUGGGGAACUUGAGUGCAGAAGAGGAGAGUGGAAUUCCACGUGUAGCGGUGAAAUGCGUAGAGAUGUGGAGGAACACCAGUGGCGAAGGCGACUCUCUGGUCUGUAACUGACGCUGAGGAGCGAAAGCGUGGGGAGCGAACAGGAUUAGAUACCCUGGUAGUCCACGCCGUAAACGAUGA
rnacentral:rRNA from 1 species